GAGAAACACAUUCUAUGAUACAAUAAAACCAAGAAACUAACAUCAGCUAAACAUUGGGUAUCACCUCACCCAGGCUAAGCAUCCCUGGAACUUUCAAGUGUUCUUCACAUGACAGGCUCCCAGUUUCUUCACCAUCGUUACCUACUUUUGAGUGUGCUCCAGUGGUCAAAGUCCCUUUUAAAUUGUGGUAUCUUGAAGAAAGUACUCCAAAUACAAUCUGAGAGGCCUUUUUCUGACAAGAGGAAUGGCAGAAUGCCAGGAAAGGUAAUUGCAAGCUGCUUUUAAAGCCAGAAAUGAAGAGGAAGAAUUUGAAUGUAAGUUAUGUUCACAUAAACAAUGGGAAGAUGAGAGCACAAGACACCUUGGUCUAAAAUAUCGAAAUUAGGCAAGUAUAAAGGGCCAUAAAUUGAAGUUGUAUUAG